rnacentral:rRNA from 1 species
GAUGAACGCUGGCGGCGUGCCUAAUACAUGCAAGUCGAGCGAACAGACGAGGAGCUUGCUCCUCUGACGUUAGCGGCGGACGGGUGAGUAACACGUGGAUAACCUACCUAUAAGACUGGGAUAACUUCGGGAAACCGGAGCUAAUACCGGAUAAUAUAUUGAACCGCAUGGUUGAAUAGUGAAAGACGGUUUUGCUGUCACUUAUAGAUGGAUCCGCGCCGCAUUAGCUGGUUGGUAAGGUAACGGCUUACCAAGGCGACGAUGCGUAGCCGACCUGAGAGGGUGAUCGGCCACACUGGAGCUGAGACACGGUCCAGACUCCUACGGGAGGCAGCAGUCGGGAAUCUUCCGCAAUGGGCGAAAGCCUGACGGAGCAACGCCGCGUGAGUGAUGAAGGUCUUCGGAUCGUAAAACUCUGUUAUUAGGGAAGAACAAAUGUGUAAGUAACUAUGCACGUCUUGACGGUACCUAAUCAGAAAGCCACGGCUAACUACGUG